UACGGCUAAUGCGCAGUAUUUU
rnacentral:snRNA from 1 species